UACAGAGGUCUCAAGCGUUUGUUCGGAUUCAUUGGGCGUAAAGGGUGCGUAGGCGGCGCGGUAAGUCGGGUGUGAAAUCUCGGAGCUUAACUCCGAAACUGCAUUCGAUACUGCCGUGCUUGAGGACUGGAGAGGAGACUGGAAUUUACGGUGUAGCGGUGAAAUGCGUAGAUAUCGUAAGGAAGACCAGUGGCGAAGGCGGGGUCUCUGGACAGUUCCUGACGCUGAGGCACGAAGGUCAGGGGAGCAAACAGG
rnacentral:rRNA from 1 species